UACGUAGGUGGCAAGCGUUGUUCGGAAUUAUUGGGCGUAAAGGGCGCGUAGGCGGUUUGUUAAGUCGGUCGUGAAAGCCCGGGGCUCAACCCCGGAGGGUCGACCGAUACUGGCAGGCUAGAGUACAGAAGAGGUAACUGGAAUUCCCGGUGUAGCGGUGGAAUGCGUAGAGAUCGGGAAGAACAUCAGUGGCGAAGGCGGCCUGCUGGGCUGUUGCUGACGCUGAGGCGCGACAGCGUGGGGAGCAAACAGG
rnacentral:rRNA from 1 species